AGAGUGAACUAGCUAACUGAAAUCACAUGAAGCACUAUGUUGAUAAUUGUGAUAACGUAAGGGAAAAAAAUGAUAUUACCUUACUAUUAGUGUUGUCCAAAACUGGUGCCAGAAGACUCGGUAAGGCCAGAGACGCAAACGUUAGUCGUCUUAAUCAGGCGUAAAGGGUAUGUAGGCUGCUUUAAAUUUUAAAAUUUUAAUAGCUCUUUAUAAAUAUAAUAUUAAUUUUAAUAUUAUAUUUAUAACAGGAAAAAUAAAAUCAAUUAAAGCUAGGAUCAAAUUGAGGAUAAACCAAAUAAUACUUAGUGUAGGGUUGAUAUCUAUAGAUACUAAGGGGAAUACUAAAGGUGAAAGCUUUUUAUCUACUAAUGAUUGACGCUGAUAAACGAAGGUGAGAAUAGGAAAUAGGAUUAGAUACCCAGAUACCUCUCACUGUCAACGAUGAAUGGUGGUUAUUAGUUUUUUUAAAAAUUGGUAACGAUGUUAACACGAUAACCAUUCCGCCUUGCGAGUACGGUUGCAAAACUGAAACCAAAAAAAUUAGUCGGUCUCGAAGCAAACG
rnacentral:rRNA from 1 species